UAAACUAUGGCGUCGUACUGCUGUUAGGUGUUGUAUCGUUGAUGGCUGGUUCAGCCACUGGUGUACCGAUGUCUCCUGGGUAUGGUGGAUAACAAAUCGCAACGCCGCCACCUUACUACACAACAUACGACACGAGCGGUUGCUACACUAAGGCCCCUAACUACUGCACCAAGGCUCCAGAAUAUUAUAUCACAACUUAUGCUUCCCUCAGCUACUACACCGAAUCCCCGCAGUAUUAUUCUUCCCCGAGCUACAUUAUCAAAGGGUCGAGUAAUACACCGACGUUCCGAAGUACUACACCACCACAUAUCAUGGUAUGAGAGGAGAGAAAAGGUGAAAUAAUUCAGCAGCCGAGUGAGCAUCUCCGUUACAGCAACAGUAACUGCCGUGCUCUAUUUGUCAUCAGUCUUCGUCGCAUUACAAGUUUUAAUUAAAGUGAACUAUGGCGUCGUGCUGCUAUUAGGUAUCGUAUCGUUGAUGGCUGGAUCGACCACUGGUGUGCCGAUUUCUCCUGGGUAUGGCGGGCAUCAACAACAAUAUACGCAACAACCGGAUACUACACUGAGCCCCCCAAGUGCUACACCACCAUGGCUCCAGAGUAUUACACAGUAACUUAUGCCAUCCCAGUUAUUGGCCCGAGCUACUACGCAGAAUCUCCGAAGUAUUUUUCUUCCCCGAACUUCACUAACUUCACAACGCCGCCUCCUUACUAAACAACAACGUCAACACCUACAUACUAACGAAGGCAGCGGAGUCCUACACCACGAAGGCAGCGGAGUCCUACACCACGAAGGCAGCGGAGUCCUACACCACGAAGGCAGCGGAGUCCUACACCACGAAGG
rnacentral:lncRNA from 1 species